UACGGAGGGAGCAAACGUUGUUCGGAAUCACUGGGCGUAAAGGGCGUGUAGGCGGCUGGAUAAGUGGGAUGUUAAAUCCCCCGGCUCAACCGGGGACCUGCAUCUCAUACUGUUCAGCUCGAGCACAUCAGAGGAGACUGGAAUUCCCGGUGUAGCGGUGAAAUGCGUAGAGAUCAUGAGGAAGACCAGUGGCGAAGGCGGGUCUCUGGACAGUUCCUGACACUGAGACACGAAGGCCAGGGGAGCAAACGGG
rnacentral:rRNA from 1 species